rnacentral:piRNA from 1 species
GAGGUGAGAUUCGAGCCCAGAGCCAU